UUAACUCAAAUUUGUUUGGAGUGGGAACGUUUACUUACGUUUGCCGCUAGGAGCGCUGUUUCAACUCCAUACAAAUUUGAGUUA
rnacentral:pre_miRNA from 1 species